rnacentral:lncRNA from 1 species
GUGCAACAAACAAUUAGUGGUGUUGGUUAAGAAGAUUGGAGUUACAUAACAAUUACAUGCCUAUAAUUAGCCUAGUUAUUGUUGGAGUUACAAUUGUAAUACCACAUAAUUAACCUAGUUAUUGUGGGAGUUAUAAUUGUAGUUAUUGUAUUGUAACUUAUCAUUGAUUUUUUUGGCUAUAAAUACCAAAGGAACUCUUCUUUGUGGACAUCAUGAGCUGUAAUCAAACAUUUCAGAAUUAAGUUGAGAGUGUUUUGGCUUUCUUUUCACUUUAUGCACAAGGUGUUGAUUUGGAAUAUAAUUGUUAUCACUUGUAUUUCAAUUUUGAUUUCCUAUUUCAAUUGUUCUUGGUG